CUGUGUAGGAGCAGAUGGGCGCUGGGCGAAAGGCUCCUGCCUGGGAACCCAAGGGUGCAGCAGCGUGGAGGAGGAGCAGCCAAGCAGGAAACCUCUCCUUUUGCUUCCCCUCGUUUCUUACCUGAAAGGACCACCUCUAACUUUUCUGGCCUCUUGCACUUUGAUUUCUGGCUGCCCUCAUCUUCUCUCCUCUCCGCUCUCAAGCCCCUGGCAGCCUCCAGCGAGGCUCACCAUGUGCUCAGCAGCCUCCAAGUUUGUCUCCGCUGCCGAGCGCCCAGUGAUCAUGCCACGUUCAGGAGUGGGGAUGUGCUGCUACCACCCCACUUUGGAGGAAGAGACUUGAACAGAUGAAUUUGAAAACGUUUCAUCGGGAGGCACCAGCCCUGGACUAGCGGAGUCAGUCCCGUUAAGAGCCCUUGGGGCUGGAGAAGGCUGAGGAAUGGGAAGGCAGAACAACGUGGCAUCUGCUGAGUCUUUGGCAAGGCUUAUAUAUUUGACAUUGAGCUCCUCGUUUCAGUCCAAACUUUAAUAACAUCAGAGUUGACACAACAGAGCAGAGCGACGAUUCAUCCCAUAGCCCGGCCUGCCAGUGGCCAGUGCCAGAUGCUUCAGAGGAGAUUGUAGAGCAUCAUAAUACAGCUAAUUGGUGGGAAAGCGGCCUUCUGGUGCCAGCUGGUGUUCAUCAGCUCUGUGUCCUGCAGCACGAGGGCCUGAUGAAAACAGCCACGCUCAGCACCUCUUGCCUGCCUUCAAUCAGAGGAGCACAAACAUUGUUGAACGAAGCCCUUCGUACAUCGGGUGUUGUAUUGUUGCUAUGUAUCUGCUGAUGGCCUGGCAUCAGGGGAUGGAGAGCCAGCCUCCUUGAUGGAGGUUCGUGGUUGCA